CCCCGGUGGGAGAACUCCUCGAAGGGGCUCGGAGGACUGAAGGCUCGACGUCGUAAGGGAUGUCGACGGUGAAGGCCGCCCGGGCAACUCCUACGUCCAUGCCUGCAGCAAGGAAAAAGAAAGAAGAAAAUCCCGAAAGAUCGGGAGAGAUUACGAAUAAACCCUCGGAAGCUGAACAAACAAAGCAAGAAGAGGAAGGAACAACAGCGAUGACAAGAGAGGUUUUGGGACCAACCUAGAUUAGCCCGACGAAGGCGGGGAGCCGGCAG
rnacentral:lncRNA from 1 species